rnacentral:lncRNA from 1 species
AGGGAGGGCACCUACCUAUAGGCAGCUGCUAUGAGAGAGUUUGUAUUUUUUCCAUAUUUACACCUUUCUCCUGCCCAGUGGUGUCAAUGGAGAUGGGACACGCUGCCCCAGGACACAUACAUACACGUGGAGUGAACUUACCCUAUAGCAGAGCCCAUGCACUGCAACACGACCAGGACAGACACACAAUCCCAGCAACAAAAUGAAAUUAAUUUCUGUUCAUGGGCAAUCCUGCUCUGUUUGGAACAAUAUUUCAAUACACGAGACAAAAUAAAAUGAGCAACUCUUCAGUUUUCAAGCUAAACAAAGCAGGGUAACAACUAACAGUAAUUCCAUUCCAACAGCAUAGAUAAUCUUUAAAAUGAAAGCGUAUAUUCCCUCUUCAGCUCAAAGAACACAUGUAAAAUUUCUUAUUCAUUCCUUUCAAAGCUACUGACUGCAAAAAUAUAUCACUCGAGUUACACUUUUUAGCCAGUUUGAUUUGCAAACGUUCUUCUUGCAACACGUAAUUCCAUGGAGGAACACCCUGUCUGUUGGGUUUGGUUUAACAACUAUUUUUUACCUUUAUUGCCUAUAGAUACCUUCCUAAUCACAAGUUGCACAGUGAAUUGAACGAGGGAGUUCGGUUUAUUUUUUUAAAAGGCAUUUGGCCAACUUGUAAGGCAUUUGCUGGUUGGCAGUUUCUUUAUCUGAUGUAUGUUUUUUCAUCUGCUAGUUAAAUCAUUAUUUAAGAAGAAACAAAGAUGUUGCUGGGUUGAACAAGGCCGAAACCAGGCUUUAGAGAAGUUGCCCCAGAAACAGGCAUGGAAAGAUCUCCUCCAUUGCCCCAUAUCCCUCUGAAGGCACAUGGAGGGCAUCCCAGGAGGAGGUUAUCAGUCAUCGGACAUCACCCACAGGACACAGAUGGAGCGAUCAGACUGAAAAGCCAAUGUUCCGUCCAGACAGAGAUCAACCAUUGCAUUUCUGUUUCUCCAGCAAAUCACGGGCAGUUUGGGCUUUUUGUGAAUGCACACAUGCACACAGACACACAUGGAUCUUGUACACCUUUUUUUUUUUUUCCCCUGCAAAAAUAACUUUGAAAGCAUCGCUGACGAAAAACCCUUUGUUACGUUUUCUUAUCUGCUAAAAAGCACCCGGCUCCUGCUUAACCAACAAAAAUCACUCUGCAACUUUUUCCUUCUUCUGUCCUCUGACCCCAGAGGUGCAGCAGCAGCUCUGCUGGGAUCGGUGUGCCCGCAGCUCCUGCAGCACGAACAAGGGUUAAGCAAACAUGUCGUGAAUGCCGUGCAGGCUGCAGAUACCUCAACAACAUUUCCAUCUCAGGCUCAGGUUAACAGUUCAGAAUAACAUUUUCCUACCCAAAGCUCAUAGCCUGAGGUUUUAAGCAUCUCUAAGUUAUCCUGUCUUGUGCUUCCCGAGAGUGAUGCGGCUGGCACUCCUGGUUCAUGCACAUGGGCAUGAGAGAACACCCGCAUAAUAACAGAUUGCUGCUCUCCUCUGUUCUUGAAAAGCCAGGGGAUGUUUGCAGCCUGACCUCACGGCACAGCCCUGUGUGUGCCACCAGGUGGACUUCAGGGUCUCGACCCACCCCCACUGUACCUAUAGCCACAUCCUUCAGUGCCACAUGUCCAUGGUUCUGGAACACCUCCAGGGAUGGUGACCCCCCCACUCCCUGGGCAGCUGUGCCGGAGUCUGACCACUCUUUUGGAGAAGUAUUUCCUAACAUCCAACCUGAACCUCCCUUGGUGCAACUUAAGGCCAGUAAGGAAAAUGCAACAAGCUCAUUGCUAAGACUGAAAAAUAAACUCCCUAUACAGAACGGUGCUGCAGAACAAAUGCAGUGCUUUCAACAAUGCAGUAAUGACAGCUCUGAAGAUUUCAUCCCUCUGUUUCCCAGCAGAUACAUCCCCCACCCCCACCCCACCAAGGCAGCAUUCACACAUCAGCAGCGCUGUCUCCUAUGCAGCGCAAACACUCCACAGCAAAAAAGCAGUGACCAAAGGCUGCAGAUGCCCUGAUGAGGCUGCAACCCGUUGGAGUCCAUGGCACAACACUGCACCCAGCCAGCAUCGCCCACCACCGUGCUCCUGCUGAUGCACCGCACCCAUCAGUCUGCACUCUGGGAAUGAAAAAUAACACAACUGGAUCGAGUGUCUCCACUCACUGCUCUCCCAGCUCCAUCUUCCAGCCCUGGUGUCCACUUCUCCCACAGUCCCAUCCACCUCUCCAGUUCCUGCCACUUCCAACACUUUCUUCUUUCUAGAGGGAGUUUUCUAGUUUUAUUUCUUUCUUUUGCAGCAGACCAACUCAUUGGCUUUUUCUCUUUAAAAUAAAAAAGAUCACUGCUUU